ensembl:lncRNA
CAGCAGUCACGCGCAUUUCACAUGAGAGGUAUCUCCCGUUCCUUUGCUUUUCUGAAGACAAAGGAAUUCUCCGGUUGGAAUAUUAUUGAAGAUUUAUGUUAAAAACAUCCUAAAGAUUGAUUCCAUACAUCAUUUGACUAGUUUCUAUGGACUGUCACGGAACUUUUUGACAUUUCGUCUGCAACUAGUGAAUGCGCUUCGUGAGUUUUGAUUUGUUUACCAAACGCGCUAUUUGGACAUAAAUGAUGGACAUUAUCGAACAAAUCAAACAUUUAUUGUGGAACUGGGAUACCUGGUAGUGCAUUCUGAUGAAGAUCAUCAAAGUCUUAAGCUAUAACUCUCUUAGGAACCAUAAGGAGAGAGUGGAGAAACAAAAAAGCGCUCCAGCUGACAUGGAACAAGACAGCAGAUUCAGCUAGAAUGACAUUUUAUUGUGUGAUGAGAGAUGGAAAUAAAAUUGUGUAUGAUGUGAUUAUAGAACAGAGGCCAUAAGUCUCUGAGUUUGUAAACCUCACGGUGAAUGUUUGUUAUCAUUGUUAGUUCCAUUUGUUAGUUUUUAAAUUCAUGUUUUAUGAUCGUUCGUCCAUUAAUUAGUAAUUUCCAAGUUUAUAUAUUAUAUAUUUAUAUUUAUAUAUAUUGAACAUUAGGAUGCUAUUGUUCAAGAGGGACUGUUGGAUUUGAAAUGUUGAAAAUUGAGAUAUUAAAGACAUGAUAGAUCAGACACAUAGUAUAUAAAGGAGUGAGAUCUGUAAGACAGAGUGGCUGUGGAAUGUGCUGGGUGGAUGGGAGGAGAUCAAAGGAUUGCUAUAGGGGAAGCAGAUGAACAUCUUUGGAUUAGGCGAAGGAGGGGUUGAGGUCAGGUCAGAUCCCAUGAAGGGAGUAAUAAGGGUUUACUACCCACUCCCUGUUUAAAACCGUAAGAUGUUAGGAUUGGAGAGAAGGAGGAGUGUCUUAAGUGGGAUAUUUAUACCUGUGAUGGUGAGAAAUGUCUGGUUGUCUGAAUUACAGCUACAACCCUUUGGGAAGAAUUAAACUUGGUUAAGCUUCUCUAGUGUCCGUGAGUUAUUUCCUCU